rnacentral:rRNA from 1 species
GACAGAGGGUGCAAACGUUGUUCGGAAUUACUGGGCGUAAAGCGCGUGUAGGCUGCUCGGAUAGUCGGGUGUGAAAGCCCUGGGCUCAACCCAGGAAGUGCAUUCGAUACUGCCGAGUUUGAGUCCUGGAGAGGAAGGCGGAAUUCUCGGUGUAGAGGUGAAAUGCGUAGAUAUCAGGAGGAACACCAGCGGUGUAGACGGCUUCUGGACCAUUGCUGACGCUGAGACACGAAAGCGUGGGUAGCAAACAGG